rnacentral:rRNA from 1 species
CCCGCACAAGCGGUGGAGCAUGUGGUUUAAUUCGACGCAACGCGAAGAACCUUACCAGGACUUGACAUCCCCUGACAACCUAUGAAAGUAGGUCUUCUGCCUUCGGGUAGACAGGGGAGACAGGUGGUGCAUGGUUGUCGUCAGCUCGUGUCGUGAGAUGUUGGGUUAAGUCCCGCAACGAGCGCAACCCUUACGGUUAGUUGCCAGCGGUUAAAGCCGGGCACUCUAGCUGAACUGCCGUUGACAAAACGGAGGAAGGUGGGGAUGACGUCAAAUCAUCAUGCCCCUUAUGACCUGGGCUACAAACGUGAUACAAUGGCUGGAACAAAGGGAGGCGAAGGGGUGACCUGGAGCGAAACCCAAAAUACAGUCUCAGUUCGGAUUGAAGUCUGCAACUCGACUUCAUGAAGUCGGAAUCGCUAGUAAUCGCGGAUCAGAACGCCGCGGUGAAUACGUUCUCGGGGUUU